rnacentral:rRNA from 1 species
CCCUUAGAUGUUCUGGGCCGCACGCGCGCUACACUGAUGCAUUCAACGAGCCUAUCCUUGACCGACAGGUCCGGGUAAUCUUUGAAUCUGCAUCGUGACGGGGAUAGAUUAUUGCAAUUAUUAAUCUUCAACGAGGAAUGCCUAGUAGGCGCAAGUCAUCAGCUUGCGUCGAUUACGUCCCUGCCCUUUGUACACACCGCCCGUAGCUCCUACCGAUUGGGUGUGCUGGUGAAAUGUUCGGAUCGGCCGUUUGUCGCGGUUUCCGCGUCAUGUGGCUGAGAAGUUCAUUAAACCCUCCCACCUAGAGGAAGGAGAAGUCGUAACA